CCAGACUCCUACGGGAGGCAGCAGUGGGGAAUAUUGCACAAUGGGCGCAAGCCUGAUGCAGCGACGCCGCGUGGGGGAUGACGGCCUUCGGGUUGUAAACUCCUUUCGCUAGGGACGAAGCUUUUGUGACGGUACCUAGAUAAGAAGCACCGGCUAACUACGUGCCAGCAGCCGCGGUAAUACGUAGGGUGCGAGCGUUGUCCGGAAUUACUGGGCGUAAAGGGCUCGUAGGUGGUUUGUCGCGUCGUCUGUGAAAUUCCGGGGCUUAACUCCGGGCGUGCAGGCGAUACGGGCAUAACUUGAGUACUGUAGGGGUAACUGGAAUUCCUGGUGUAGCGGUGAAAUGCGCAGAUAUCAGGAGGAACACCGAUGGCGAAGGCAGGUUACUGGGCAGUUACUGACGCUGAGGAGCGAAAGCAUGGGUAGCGAACAGGAUUAGAUACCCUGGUAGUCCAUGCCGUAAACGGUGGGCGCUAGGUGUGAGGGUCUUUUCACGACUUUCGUGCCGUAGCUAACGCAUUAAGCGCCCCGCCUGGGGAGUACGGCCGCAAGGCUAAAACUCAAAGGAAUUGACGGGGGCCCGCACAAG
rnacentral:rRNA from 1 species